UAUUCCUUCGUUUCGUU
rnacentral:sRNA from 1 species